AACUUACUUGGUACCUGAUUAAU
rnacentral:siRNA from 1 species